rnacentral:tRNA from 1 species
GGGCCUGUGGAGGUAAUCGGUAACCUCAGCUGAGUUGGAACCAGACAUUACGGGUUCGAGUCCCGUCAGGUCCACCA